rnacentral:rRNA from 1 species
GGUGGGUAGUUUAACUGGGGCGGUUGCCUCCCAAAGGGUAACGGAGGCGCCCAAAGGUUCCCUCAGGCUGUUUGGAAAUCAGCCGCAGAGUGUAAAGGCAUAAGGGAGCUUGACUGCGAGACUGACAAGUCGAGCAGGUGGGAAACCAGGGCUUAGUGAUCCGGCGGUUCCGUAUGGAAGGGCCGUCGCUCAUCGAAUAAAAGGUACGCCGGGGAUAACAGGCUUAUCUCCCCCAAGAGUUCACAUCGACGGGGAGGUUUGGCACCUCGAUGUCGGCUCAUCGCAUCCUGGGGCUGAAGCAGGUCCCAAGGGUUCGGCUGUUCGCCGAUUAAAGCGGUACGUGAGCUGGGUUUAGAACGUCGUGAGACAGUUCGGUCCUUAUCCGCUGUGGGCGUAGGAAACUUGAGGAGCGCUGUCCCUAGUACGAGAGGACCGGGAUGGCUCGAGCUCUCGUGUACCAGUUGUUCCGCCAGGGGCAUCGCUGGGUAGCGAUCUCGGGAUCGGAUAACCGCUGAAUGCAUCUAAGCGGGAAGCC